rnacentral:rRNA from 1 species
CCUACGGGUGGCUGCAGUGGGGAAUUUUUCGCAAUGGGGGAAACCCUGACGAAGCAACGCCGCGUGGAGGAUGAAGGCCUUCGGGUCGUAAACUCCUGUCGACCGGGACGAAAGCAGUCUGACCCAAUACGUCGGGCUGUCGACUGUACCGGUGGAGGAAGCCACGGCUAACUCUGUGCCAGCAGCCGCGGUAAUACAGAGGUGGCAAGCGUUGUUCGGAAUUACUGGGCGUAAAGGGCGCGUAGGCGGUGCUGUAAGUCAGGCGUGAAAUCCCCGGGCUCAACCUGGGAAUUGCGCAUGAUACUGCGGCGCUGGAAUGCGGGAGAGGAUGGCGGAAUUCCCAGUGUAGAGGUGAAAUUCGUAGAUAUUGGGAAGAACACCGGUGGCGAAGGCGGCCAUCUGGCCCGUGAUUGACGCUGAGGCGCGAAAGCGUGGGGAGCAAACAGGAUUAGAUACCC